rnacentral:rRNA from 1 species
AUUGAACGCUGGCGGCAGGCCUAACACAUGCAAGUCGAACGGUAGCACAGAGAGCUUGCUCUCGGGUGACGAGUGGCGGACGGGUGAGUAAUGUCUGGGAAACUGCCUGAUGGAGGGGGAUAACUACUGGAAACGGUAGCUAAUACCGCAUAACGUCGCAAGACCAAAGAGGGGGACCUUCGGGCCCCUUGCCAUCAGAAGUGCCCAGAUGGGAUUAGCUAGUAGGUGGGGUAACGGCUCACCUAGGCGACGAUCCCUAGCUGGUCUGAGAGGAUGACCAGCCACACUGGAACUGAGACACGGUCCAGACUCCUACGGGAGGCAGCAGUGGGGAAUAUUGCACAAUGGGCGCAAGCCUGAUGCAGCCAUGCCGCGUGUAUGAAGAAGGCCUUCGGGUUGUAAAGUACUUUCAGCGGGGAGGAAGGCGAUACGGUUAAUAACCGUGUUGAUUGACGUUACCCGCAGAAGAAGCACCGGCUAACUCCGUGCCAGCAGCCGCCGUAA